UCCUCUAGCGACAGCUUCGAACAGGUCCGUCGCGUCGCCCGAGAGAAGGAGAGAGAGAAACAGCUAAAAGCACAGGCCAGGAGAGAGCAGGAGAAACUACGUAGCCGUGACGACGAGGACUCUGUGGAGCAGCAGGGGAGGGGCGUGUCCAGGAGGACACUCGCCGUCGCCAGGAGCAACUUUCGCCUCAACCCCUCCCGCCGACUCCCCACAGGCCCCUCCCACUCAACAGGCCACACCCUCGGCCGCAGCAGAACGCCAUGGACCAGCAGAGGGAGCUGGCGAGACGCCGCGAGCAGGAAAGGAGGAGGAGAGAGAUGGCGGACACCAUUGACAUCAACUUCCAGAGCGACUUGAUGGCCAUCUUUGAAGAGAACCUUUUCUGAGAGAGAGAUUGAGAAAGGAGGAGAGGGAGAGAAAGAGAUAUGAACUCUACCUUAUCCCACCAUGGCUGGGAUUUCACACACAACACCCUCCCUCCCUCUGAUUAGAGACCCCAGACCAGGAUGUGAGCUCCAGAGACUUGAAGGAGACUGAGGUGAGGUACAGUAAUAAGGAGAUGCCCUCCCUCCCUCCCUCUGAUUAGAGACCCC